AAACUUUCAAAAACGGAUCUCUUGGCUCGGGCAUCGAUGAAAAACGCAGCGAAAUGGGAAAAGGAAUGGGAAUUGCAAAACCCAGCGAAUCAUCGAAUCUUUGAACGCCAAUUGGGCCCGGGAGCAUUCCCCCGGGCAAACCUGUUCGAGCGUCAUUU
rnacentral:rRNA from 1 species